GAGUUUUCCCAAAGUUUUUAUCUAAAAUCUCACAAUGCUCUCAAAAAUCACAUACUUCAUACUCCUUAUUUCUUCACUUUUACGAUUCUCACUAUUUUUCUCUCAUUAGGAAUGUCUCUUCCUCCCUUCUCCCAUUCCCUAUUUAUAGGAAUAAGGAGUCACCAGAGAAAGGUUGCCAUAAUUUUGUCAUACAAUUUUAUCUAAAAGUUAUCACCUUUCAUCAUGUCACUUCAUCUAAAAGGUUAUCACUUUUCACAUGGUAUUUUAUUUAGAAGGUUACCAGUGUUUACAUGUUACUUCAUCUAAAAAGUUAUUACUUUUUAUAUGUCACUUAUCUAAAAG
rnacentral:lncRNA from 1 species